rnacentral:lncRNA from 1 species
GAAGCCCUGGGCAUUAUCUCUCAUAAUGAGGUAGGGAACAGAACAUUUUCAUUUCCUACUCUCUCCUUUCUAAGUGAAUUUACAGGUGGCUGACUCCCGCCUCUAUUUUCAGUAAUUUAUUCUUUUACUUAAGCCAGCAAAUGAAAAUAUGAGUUAUCUUCCUGGCUGACAUUUGCAUAUUCAUUAAACAUUUCAUUAAAUUAUUUCACAGCAUUUUUAAAUGAUUGCUAACUGACAACUCAGGAUGUCCCUAUCUCCUGGCAAUCUAAAUUGGCAGAGCUGUACCGUGGCUGACUUGAAAGGGCACAAUCGUUCUUACCCGUUGGUAAAACGCAGCAGUGUCAGAGAGAGACUGAGCUUUUAACAGCAUGUUGCUGUAGAAUAUGGCAGGCCUUUGCUGGAAGGAAGAAAUUUGCAUUCUCCUGAGUCCCAGGACAAGUCCACUUUCUUCUGUGAUGGAGAGCUAAUUGCCACCAGCAGAUGGGAGAGCAAAUUAAAACAAAGGUCCCUGGCGCAGAUCUGCUGACCUGCUGCUUCUGGCACAAGGGGCCUAGAACAAGAGAGCGGCAGCGGUGUCGUGCUGCAGACACCUCUGGUGUGGACACCAACACAUGGGAGUGGAAGUGGG